GACAAUGUAGCUCAGUGGUAGAGUGCUUGCCUAGCAUGCAUGAAGCCCUGGGUUCGAUUCCUCAGUAAGGACC
rnacentral:tRNA from 1 species